AGUGAACGCUGGCGGCAGGCCUAAUACAUGCAAGUCGAACGGCAGCACAAUAAGAGCUCUCCCCUACGGGUGGCGAGUGGCGGACGGGUGAGGCAUACAUCGGAAUCCACUUUUUCGUGGGGGACAACGUAGGGACACAUACGCUACCACAGCAUACGUUCUACGGGAGGAAGCAGGGGAUCUUCGGAGCUUGCGCGUUUCAAUUAGCCGAUGCCGGAUUAGCUAGUUGGCGAGGUAAAGGCCCACCAAGGCGACGAUACGUAGCUGGUCUGAGAGGAUGAUCAGCCACACUGGAACUGAGACACGGUCCAGACUCCUACGGGAGGCAGCAGUGGGGAAUAUUGGGCAAUGGGCGCAAGCCUGAUCGAGCCAUGCCGCGUGAGUGAAGAAGGCCUUCGGGUUGUAAAGCCCUUUUAUUAGGGAAGAAAAGCAGCGGAUGAAAACCCCGCUGUUCUGACGGUACCCAAUGAGAAAGCACCGGCUAACUACGUG
rnacentral:rRNA from 1 species